rnacentral:rRNA from 1 species
UCGAACGAGAAUCUGGAGGUUCAAGUUUCGGACAAGAACUUCGGAGGAAAGUAGGCGGAAGGGUGAGUACAACAUGGAUAAUCUACUUCAAGUUGGGUAUAGCUUCCCGAAAGGGGAGAUAAUCCCGAAUGUGGUGAUCCGGCGCCUGUCGGAGAAUCCAAAGGUGGGGACCGCAAGGCCUGCCGCUUGAAGAUGAGUCCGUGCACUAUCAGCUAGUUGGUGAGGUAAUGGCUCACCAAGGCGAUGACGGUUAGCUGGUCUGAGAGGAUGGUCAGCCACACUGGGACUGAGAUACUGCCCAGACUCCUACGGGAGGCUGCAGUCGAGAAUCAUUCGCAAUGGGCGCAAGCCUGACGGUGCGACGUCGCGUGGAGGAUGAAGGUCUUCGGAUUGUAAACUCCUGUCAUGUGGGAUAAAUGGCCAGGGCAUGAAUAGUGCCUUGGAAUGAUAGUACCACAGGAGGAAGGGACGGCUAACUCUGUG